rnacentral:rRNA from 1 species
AACGAACGCUGGCGGCAUGCCUAACACAUGCAAGUCGAACGAGACCUUCGGGUCUAGUGGCGCACGGGUGCGUAACGCGUGGGAAUCUGCCCUUGGGUUCGGAAUAACAGUUAGAAAUGACUGCUAAUACCGGAUGAUGUCUUCGGACCAAAGAUUUAUCGCCCAGGGAUGAGCCCGCGUAGGAUUAGCUAGUUGGUGGGGUAAAGGCCUACCAAGGCGACGAUCCUUAGCUGGUCUGAGAGGAUGAUCAGCCACACUGGGACUGAGACACGGCCCAGACUCCUACGGGAGGCAGCAGUGGGGAAUAUUGGACAAUGGGCGAAAGCCUGAUCCAGCAAUGCCGCGUGAGUGAUGAAGGCCUUAGGGUUGUAAAGCUCUUUACCGGGAUGAUAAUGACAGUACCGGGAGAAUAAGCCCGGCUAACUCCGUGCCAGCAGCCGCGGUAAU